UACGUAGGGUGCGAGCGUUAAUCGGAAUUACUGGGCGUAAAGGGCGCGUAGGCGGCACGGCAAGUCAGGAGUGAAAGGCCUGGGCUCAACCGAGGAACUGCUUUUGAGACUGCCGAGCUAGAGUGCAGAAGGGGCAACUGGAAUUCCCAGUGUAGCGGUGAAAUGCGUAGAUAUUGGGAAGAACACCUGAGGCGAAGGCGGGUUGCUGGGCUGACACUGACGCUGAGGCGCGAAAGCCAGGGGAGCAAACGGG
rnacentral:rRNA from 1 species